ACGACCGGCGCACGGGUGAGUAUCGCGUGUGCAAUCUACCUCUAACUGGGGGAUAGCCCGGAGAAAUUCGGAUUAAUACCCCAUAUUGUUAAAAUUUCGCAUGAAAUUUUGACGAAAGCUCCGGCGGUACAGAGAUGAGCAUGCGUGCCAUUAGUUUGUCGGUGAGGUAACGGCUCACCCAUGGCACCGAUGGCUAAGGGGUCUGAGAGGAUGAUCCCCCACACUGGUACUGAGACACGGACCAGACUCCUACGGGAGGCAGCAGUGAGGAAUAUUGGUCAAUGGGCGAAAGCCUGAACCAGGCAUGCCGCGUGCAGGAUGACGGCCCUAUGGGUUGUAAACUGCUUUUCUGCUCCAAGAACCCCACUUACGUGUAAGUCGGUUGACGGUAGAGCAGGAAUAAGCAUCGGCUAACUCCGUGCCAGCAGCCGCGGUAAUACGGAGGAUGCAAGCGUUAUCCGGAUUCAUCGGGUUUAACGGGUGCGCAGGCGGAUUAAUAAGUCAGUAGUGAAAUCCUGCAGCUUAACUGUAGAAUUGCUAUUGAUACUGUCAAUCUUGAGUACAGUUGAGGUAGGCGGAAUGUCUGAUGUAGCGGUGAACUGCUUAGAUUUCAUACAGAACACCAAUUGCGAAGGCAGCUUACUAAACUGUAACUGACGCUGAGGCACGAAAGCGUGGGGAGCGAACAGGAUUCGAUACCCUGGUAGUCCACGCUGUAAACGAUGAUCACUCGCUGUUGGCAAUACAUCGUCAGUGGCUGAGCAAAAGCAUUAAGUGAUCCAGCUGGGGAAGUACGUCGGCAACGAUGUUACUCAAAGGAAUUGACGGGGGCCCGCACAAGCGGUGGAACAUGUGGUUUAAUUCGAUGAUACGCGAGGAACCUUACCUGGGCUUAAAUGCAGAACGACGGUUCCCGAAAGGGAUCCUUCUUCGGACGGACUGCAAGGUGCUGCAUGGUUGUCGUCAGCUCGUGCCGUGAGGUGUCGGGUUAAGUCCCAUAACGAGCGCAACCCCUAUUGUUAGUUGCCAGCGAGUAAUGUCGGGGACUCUAACGAAACUGCCGGUGUAAACCGUGAGGAAGGUGGGGAUGACGUCAAAUCAGCACGGCCCUUAUGUCCAGGGCUACACACGUGUUACAAUGGUCGGUACAGAGGGCAGCUACUUGGCGACAAGUUGCAAAUCUCUAAAACCGGCCUUAGUUCGGAUUGAAGUCUGCAACUCGACUUCAUGAAGCUGGAAUCGCUAGUAAUCGCGCAUCAGCCAUGGCGCGGUGAUACGUUCCCGGGCCUUGUACACACCGCCCGUCAAGCCAUGGAAGCUGGGGGUACCUAAAGUCCGUAAC
rnacentral:rRNA from 1 species